rnacentral:rRNA from 1 species
GUGUCAGCAGCCGCGGUAAUACCAGCUCUCCGAGUGGUGUGGAUGUUUAUUGGGCCUAAAGCAUCCGUAGCUGGCUAGGUUAGUCCCUUGUUAAAUCCACCGAAUUAAUCGUUGGAUUGCGGGGGAUACUGCCUGGCUAGGGAACGAGAGAGGCAGACGGUAUUUUCGGGGUAGGGGUGAAAUCCUAUAAUCCCGGGAAGACCACCAGUGGCGAAGGCUGUCUGCUAGAACGCGUCCGACGGUGAGGGAUGAAAGCUGGGGGAGCGAACCGGAUUAGAUACCCUCGUAGUCC